rnacentral:rRNA from 1 species
UACGUAGGUGGCAAGCGUUGUCCGGAUUUACUGGGCGUAAAGAGCGCGCAGGCGGUUGUGCACGUCGCGUGUGAAAGCCCCCGGCUCAACUGGGGAGGGUCACGCGAUACUGCUCGACUUGAAGGCAGGAGAGGGAAGUGGAAUUCCCGGUGUAGUGGUGAAAUGCGUAGAUAUCGGGAGGAACACCAAUGGCGAAGGCAGCUCGCUGGGACGUUACUGACGCUGAGGCGCGACAGCGUGGGGAGCAAACAGG